rnacentral:lncRNA from 1 species
AUAUGAGGGAGAGCACUGCCAGAGGCAUCUGGAAGAGUCCAGAGCAGGGAGAGGAAGCAGUAGCUUGAACCUGGCCAGCAGACAAGACUGGGUCAUUGGAAUACUAUUCUUGUCCCUAACUUCUGCAUGAAAAAAGUGAAGCACAGGAAGAAGGUUCAUUAGCCUGUCCACACAGUGAAAGCACCCUCAGCAUGUAGCCCAGGCCUUGGGUACCAACGACUAUGUGUGCACUAACAACUACCUCAUACUGCUUCUAGGUGGACCACGGGGUAGCUGAAGCUGACGAUGAAUUUGAAGACCUGAUCAUCCUUUGUCUUCCACCUCUGCAUUGGCUUUGAUUGGCUGUCACCCAUGUUGGAGUGGGCUUUGGUGAUGCAGCUGUCUUUGAGGCAUUUCUGCUGCUGCUAGUAGCCCCUCCCCCAUACUCCUAUAAGUAACCCCCAUAAAUUUGUUG